rnacentral:rRNA from 2 species
UACGGAGGGGGCUAGCGUUGUUCGGAAUUACUGGGCGUAAAGCGCACGUAGGCGGAUGGACAAGUCAGAGGUGAAAUCCCAGGGCUCAACCUUGGAACGGCCUUUGAAACUUUCCAUCUUGAGGUCGAGAGAGGUGAGUGGAAUUCCGAGUGUAGAGGUGAAAUUCGUAGAUAUUCGGAGGAACACCAGUGGCGAAGGCGGCUCACUGGCUCGAUACUGACGCUGAGGUGCGAAAGCGUGGGGAGCAAACAGG